GUGAAUCAUCGAAUUUUUGAACGCAAAUUGCGCCUUUUUCGGAAGGCAUGUCUGUUUGAGGGCACCAUUUAACAAAUAAUGUGCACCGUUUUGUGUGUGCACACGUUGAUGAGCUUUCCAGGAAAAAUUUUUUUUUUUUUUUUUUUUUGGUGGCCCAUAAUGAAAAGCGGAAAAGCUUUUUUUCAUUUGGGUG
rnacentral:misc_RNA from 1 species